rnacentral:tRNA from 1 species
GAGCCUGUAGCGCAGCCUGGAUUAGCGCAACAGCCUCCUAAGCUGUGGGUCCCGGGUUCGAACCUCCCGGCAGGCUCG